AGACACCUACGGGUGGCAGCAGUUUCGAAUCAUUCACAAUGGGGGCAACCCUGAUGGUGCAACGCCGCGUGAGGGAUGAAGGCCUUCGGGUCGUAAACCUCUGUCACCGGGGAGCAACAAGCGGGUUCAUAGCCCGCCCUGAGUUAACCCGGAGAGGAAGCAGUGGCUAACUCCGUGCCAGCAGCCGCGGUAAUACGGAGACUGCAAGCGUUACUCGGAUUCACUGGGCGUAAGGGGUGCGCAGGCGGAUAGAUGUGUGAGGUGUGAAAUCUCGGGGCUCAACCUCGAAACUGCGCCUCAAACUGUCUAUCUAGAGUAUUGGAGGGGUAAGUGGAAUUUCUGGUGUAGCGGUGAAAUGCGUAGAUAUCAGAAGGAACACCAAUGGCGAAGGCAGCUUACUGGACAAAUACUGACGCUGAGGCACGAAAGCAUGGGUAGCGAAAGGGAUUAGAUACCCCUGUAGUCCAUGCCGUAAACGUUGUACACUAGGUCUUGGGGGUUUCGACCCUUUCAGACCCCAGCUAACGCGAUAAGUGUACCGCCUGAGGACUACGGCCGCAAGGCUAAAACUCAAGGAAUUGACGGGGCCCGCACAAGCGGU
rnacentral:rRNA from 1 species